AUACUUACCUGGCAAGGCAAAUACCGUGAUCACGAAGGUGAAUUUUCCAGAGCGAGGCUUAUUUAUUGCGCUCCGGAUGUGCUGAUUCCUACCAUUUCCCCAAACGUGGGAGACUCUACUGCAUAAUUUGUGAUAGUGGGGGACUGCGUUCGCGCUUUCCCUUG